rnacentral:rRNA from 1 species
UGGGGAAUAUUGGACAAUGGGCGAAAGCCUGAUCCAGCCAUGCCGCGUGAGUGAUGACGGCCUUAGGGUUGUAAAGCUCUUUUGCCAGGGAAGAUAAUGACGGUACCUGGAGAAUAAGCCCCGGCUAACUUCGUGCCAGCAGCCGCGGUAAGACGAAGGGGGCUAGCGUUGUUCGGAAUCACUGGGCGUAAAGCGCACGUAGGCGGAUCUUUAAGUCAGGGGUGAAAUCCCGAGGCGCAACCUCGGAACUGCCUUUGAUACUGGGGAUCUCGAGUCCGGAAGAGGUAAGUGGAACUGCGAGUGUAGAGGUGAAAUUCGUAGAUAUUCGCAAGAACACCAGUGGCGAAGGCGGCUUACUGGUCCGGAACUGACGCUGAGGUGCGAAAGCGUGGGGAGCAAACA